rnacentral:rRNA from 1 species
GAUGGAGCAACGCCGCGUGAGUGAAGAAGGGUUUCGGCUCGUAAAGCUCUGUUGUUAAAGAAGAACGUGGGUAAGAGUAACUGUUUACCCAGUGACGGUAUUUAACCAGAAAGCCACGGCUAACUACGUGCCAGCAGCCGCGGUAAUACGUAGGUGGCAAGCGUUAUCCGGAUUUAUUGGGCGUAAAGCGAGCGCAGGCGGUCUUUUAAGUCUAAUGUGAAAGCCUUCGGCUCAACCGAAGAAGUGCAUUGGAAACUGGGAGACUUGAGUGCAGAAGAGGACAGUGGAACUCCAUGUGUAGCGGUGAAAUGCGUAGAUAUAUGGAAGAACACCAGUGGCGAAGGCGGCUGUCUGGUCUGCAACUGACGCUGAGGCUCGAAAGCAUGGGUAGCGAACAGGAUUAGAUACCCUGGUAGUCCAUGCCGUAAACGAUGAUUACUAAGUGUUGGAGGGUUUCCGCCCUUCAGUGCUGCAGCUAACGCAUUAAUUAAUCCGCCUCGGGAGUA